rnacentral:lncRNA from 1 species
CAUGUUGGCCAGCAUGGUCUUGAACAUUCUGACAGCAGGUGAUCCACCUGCCUCAGGCCCCUAAAAGUGCUGGGAUUAUGGGUGAGAGCCACUGUGCCUGGCCAAAUAUUUUACAAUUUUUUUUUUUUUUGAGAUGGAGUUUCAUUCUUGCUGCCCAGGCUGGAGUGCAAUGGUGCAAUCUCAAAAAUAAGUUUUGGUAAAAAGUCUUUGUGGUUUUUUUUUUUUUUUUUUUUUUUUGGAGACAGGGUAUCUCUCUGUCUCCCAGGCUGGAGUGCAGUGGCACAAUCCCCACUUACUGCAACCUCUGCGUCCUGGGCUCAAGCCAUCCUCCCACCUCCGCCUCCCAACAGCAGCUAGACUACAGAUGUGCGCCACAUGGGCUAAGUUUUGUAUUUUUUUUUUCUUUUUUUCUUUUUUUUUUUUUUUUUGGCAGAUACGAGGUUUCGUCAUGUUGCCCAGGCUGGUCUUGAACUCCUGGGCUCAAGUGAUCCUCCCACCUUGGCCCCUGCAAAGUUCUGGGAUUACAGCCAUGAGCUACUAUGCCCAGCCAGUUUCAGUAAAAAUUCUAAAUCACUCUUUAAGACCCAUUUUACAGAGAAUCCUAUUUCUGAGGUCUGGAUGUUAGCUAUAAUAUCUUGUUCCUAACUCAUCUAAGGUUUACCCUGGACCCUCCACCUCACAAAA